GGAGAGGUGGCUGAGCUGGUCUAAGGCGCACGACUGGAAAUCGUGUAUGGAGUAGUCCUCCAUCUAGGGUUCAAAUCCCUAUCUCUCCG
rnacentral:tRNA from 1 species